GGCUUCGUGGUCGGGUGGUAAGGACACAUGCCUCUCACUCUGGAGCCCCGAGUUCAAUUCCCGGUCGAGGAGCUA